CCCCAGUAAACGGCGGCCGUAACUAUAACGGUCCUAAGGUAGCGAAAUUCCUUGUCGGGUAAGUUCCGACCCGCACGAAAGGCGUAACGAUUUGGGCACUGUCUCAACAACAGACUCGGUGAAAUUGUAAUUCCGGUGAAGAUGCCGGAUACCUGCGACAGGACGGAAAGACCCCAUGGAGCUUUACUGUAGCUUGACAUUGGGUCUUGGUACUACAUGUACAGGAUAGGUGGGAGGCUUUGAAACCAGGACGCCAGUUUUGGCGGAGCCAUCCUUGGGAUACCACCCUUGUAGUACUGGGACUCUAACCAUAGGCCAUGAAUCUGGUCUUGGGACACUGUCAGGUGGGCAGUUUGACUGGGGCGGUCGCCUCCCAAAAGGUAACGGAGGCGCUCAAAGGUUCUCUCAGUACGGUCGGAAAUCGUACGUAGAGUGUAAAGGCAAAAGAGAGCUUGAUUGCAAGACAUACAGGUCGAGCAAGGAUGAAAAUCGGACUUAGUGAUCCGGUGGUUCUGCGUGGAAGGGCCAUCGCUCAACGGAUAAAAGCUACCCUGGGGAUAACAGGCUUAUCUCCCCCAAGAGUCCACAUCGACGGGGAGGUUUGGCACCUCGAUGUCGGCUCAUCACAUCCUGGGGCUGUAGUAGGUCCCAAGGGUUGGGCUGUUCGCCCAUUAAAGUGGUACGCGAGCUGGGUUCAGAACGUCGUGAGACAGUUCGGUCCCUAUCCGUCGCAGGCGUAGGAAAUUUGAGAAGACCUGUCCUUAGUACGAGAGGACCGGGAUGGACGUACCUCU
rnacentral:rRNA from 1 species